GACAGAGGCCCCAAGCGUUAGGCGGAAUCACUGGGCUUAAAGCGUGUGUAGGCGGACGCCUAAGUGUCUUGUGAAAUCCCACGGCUCACCCGUGGAACUGCUGGGCAUACUGGGCGUUUUGGGCCAACUAGGGGCAGCCGGAACAAGCGGUGGAGCGGUGAAAUGCGUAGAUAUCGCUUGGAACGCCGAAGGUGAAAACAGGCUGCUGGGGUUGUGCCGACGCUGAGACACGAAAGCCAGGGGAGCAAACGGG
rnacentral:rRNA from 1 species